rnacentral:rRNA from 1 species
GACGAACGCUGGCGGCGUGCUUAACACAUGCAAGUCGACAUGAGUGGCGAACUGGUGAGUAAUACGUGGGUAACCUGCCCUCCUUUUUGGGAUAAGCCUUGGAAACGGGGUCUAAUACCGACUAAAGGGGGAUGGGCUCGCGGCCUAUCAGCUUGUUGGUGGGGCAAUGGCCUACCAAGGCGGUGACGGGUAGCCGGCCUGAGAGGGUGACCGGCCACAUUGGGACUGAGACACGGUCCAGACUCCUACGGGAGGCAGCAGUGGGGAAUAUUGCACAAUGGGCGCAAGCCUGAUGCAGCCAUGCCGCGUGUAUGAAGAAGGCCUUCGGGUUGUAAAGUACUUUCAGCGAGGAGGCGUUACUCGCAGAAGAAGCACCGGCUAACUCCGUGCCAGCAGCCGCGGUAAUAC